UACAGAGGUUGCAAGCGUUAAUCGGAUUUACUGGGCGUAAAGGGUGUGUAGGUGGUUUGGAAAGUCGGUUGUGAAAUCCCCGGGCUUAACCUGGGAAUUGCUCCCGAUACUUCCAGACUAGAGUACGGUAGAGGGCGGUGGAAUUUCCGGUGUAGCGGUGAAAUGCGUAGAUAUCGGAAGGAACACCAAUGGCGAAGGCAGCCGCCUGGGCCUGUACUGACACUGAGACACGAAAGCGUGGGGAUCAAAC
rnacentral:rRNA from 1 species